GCUUCCAGCCUUUCACGGGAACGAGAGGAGAGUCUGAAUGAAGCUGGAGCUCUCUGAUGCUAUUAGUCAUUGAAAGUCUAGAAUCAUUUUGCUUGUGGCCAAUUAGAAAUACUUUUUUCUUUUCUUUGUCAAUUUGUUCAAUUGGCACUGGUAUAGGUUUAGUCUCACUAAGUAGAUUUUCUCUUUAUACUGCAUGUAUAUGCAUUUUAUUAUUCGUUUGAAUAUAUUGUAAAAGAAACUUGUUGCUGUUAAAUAUCCUUUUCUAGGAACUGACAACUUGAUUUGUGGUUUUUAUCAACAACAAAACAA
rnacentral:lncRNA from 1 species